GGCCCGGUGGCGGAAGAUCAACGCGGGGGCGGUGCAACGCUCUUUUUUCCUGGUUCAAGUCCAGGCUGGGCCUCCA
rnacentral:tRNA from 1 species